GAUUUCAUCUCCAUAGGAUGGGACUCCGGCCUAUCAGCUUGUUGGUGAGGUAAUGGCCCACCAAGGCGAUUACAGGUACGGGCUUUGAGAGGAGAAGCCCGGAGAUGGGUAUUGAGACAAGGACCCAGGCCUUAUGGGGCGCAGCAGGCGAGGAAACUUUGCAAUGUGCGAAAGCACGACAAGGUUAAUCCGAGUGAUUUCUGCUAAAGAAAUCUUUUGCAAGUCAUAAAACCACUAGUGAAUGAGGGGUGGGCAAGUUCUGGUGUCAGCCGCCGCGGUAAAACCAGCACCUCAAGUGGUCAGGAGGAUUAUUGGGCCUAAAGCAUCCGUAGCCGGCUCUGUAAGUUUUCGGUUAAAUCCAUGUGCUCAACGCAUGGGCUGCCGAAAAUACUGCAUAGCUAGGGAGUGGGAGAGGUAGACGGUACUCGGUAGGAAGGGGUAAAAUCCUUUGAUCUAUCGAUGACCACCUGUGGCGAAGGCGGUCUACCAGAACACGUUCGACGGUGAGGGAUGAAAGCUGGGGGAGCAAACCGGAUUAGAUACCCGGGUAGUCCCAGCUGUAAACGAUGCAGACUCGAUGAUGCAUUGGCAUAUAGCCAGUGCAGUGUCGCAGGGAAGCCGUUAAGUCUGCCGCCUGGGAAGUACGUACGCAAGUAUGAAACUUAAAGGAGCCGGCGGGGGAGCAG
rnacentral:rRNA from 1 species